CUCUGCUUCGUGCCACUGCAUGUCUAUCUCUUGAUCGCUAGUGUGCUGCUUGAUUGAGUUGCCUUGUUCAAUUUCUCGCUUCGUUUCGAUCGGAUGAUUGGCGAUGAGAUUGAUUGGAAUGAGCAAGGUUGAAAUUCUUUGUUCUUUUAUUUAGUUUUUUUGCCCUUUAUUUCUUCUGGCUUGGUUGGACAAAGUGGAAGUAAUGCUGCUUCGGAUUGUUCGACGCAACGCCUUGUUUAUCAGAUGAAGGUUUUUUUCCUGGAAAAUGGGCUAUUAUUAUUUGAAAAUAUGAAAUUGUAUUAUUGGCGAUGUGCUAUAAUUGUAUGAUGCUUCUAGCUGUCAGUGUGAUCUUGCUGCUUUUGAAGGAUCACUUUUUGUAUUCUAAAGAUUGAUUUUUUUU